AGCACAGAACUGAGUUGGUCUGCACACACCUUAAGGGCAUGUGGCAAGACUCCAUCUGGGUCAGAUGCCUUAUUUGCCCUGAGCCACUUCAGCUGGGAGCAGACGUAAUCAGAGAUGACCGUUAUCUGUCAAAAAGCAAAUAUCUUUCUUUCCACAAUCAAUAUACAGCCUACCUGGAGUGGGAAUGAGAUUAUUUUGUAAUAUUGAGUGAUUAUAGGCAGAUGAAGAGGAUGCGGAUCACCAGUCACCUUCUCUGAAGACGAUUACCAGCUUAACCGCCCUAUAACUGCAUUCUCAGUAUUGAUCAAUAGCGAGUGCUGUACCAUCUUGCAUGAUUUGAAAUACAGGUAGCAUGUGUAUUUGUGUGGACAGAAAGAAAAGACAGAGGUGGUGAAUAAAGCAAGUUAACACACAAUGUGAAAGGUGACAGGAGGGAGAUUUUUGGUUGUUUAUGUCAAUCUGUGUAUUAGUGUGUUUGUGAGAGUUGCACUGGAUGUAAUUUGCUGCAGCA